rnacentral:ncRNA from 18 species
CUACCACCGGGCGAUGGGGCCCGCCCGACCCAACUGCCGCGCUCGCACGAACCCGUGGGCGGCUGACGGUCCCUGUCUACCA